CCUACGGGUGGCUGCAGUCGAGGAUCUUCGGCAAUGGGCGCAAGCCUGACCGAGCGACGCCGCGUGCGGGAUGAAGGCCUUCGGGUUGUAAACCGCUGUCAGUGGGGAGAUCUAUCCGCAGAGGAAGUGUGGGCUAAGUUCGUGCCAGCAGCCGCGGUAAGACGAACCACACAAACGUUAUUCGGAAUUACUGGGCUUAAAGGGUGCGUAGGCGGCGCGGAAAGUUGGGUGUGAAAUCCCUCGGCUCAACCGAGGAACUGCGCUCAAUACUACCGUGCUCGAGGGAGACAGAGGUGAGCGGAACUUAGGGUGGAGCGGUGAAAUGCGUUGAUAUCCUAAGGAACACCCGUGGCGAAAGCGGCUCACUGGCUCUUCUGACGCUGAGGCACGAAAGCUAGGGUAGCGAACGGGAUUAGAUACCCUAGUAGUC
rnacentral:rRNA from 1 species